rnacentral:rRNA from 1 species
AACGAACGCUGGCGGCAUGCCUAACACAUGCCAGUCGAACGAGACCUUCGGGUCUAGUGGCGCACGGGUGCGUAACGCGUGGGAACCUGCCCUUAGGUUCGGAAUAACUCCCCGAAAGGGGUGCUAAUACCGGAUAAUGUCUUCGGACCAAAGAUUUAUCGCCUUUGGAUGGGCCCGCGUUGGAUUAGCUAGUUGGUAGGGUAAAAGCCUACCAAGGCGACGAUCCAUAGCUGGUCUGAGAGGAUGAUCAGCCACACUGGGACUGAGACACGGCCCAGACUCCUACGGGAGGCAGCAGUGGGGAAUUUUGGACAAUGGGCGAAAGGCUGAUCCAGCCAUGCCGCGUGAGUGAUGAAGGCCUUAGGGUUGUAAAGCUCUUUUACCCGGGAUGAUAAUGACAGUACCGGGAGAAUAAGCUCCGGCUAACUCCGUG